UACGAAGGGGGCUAGCGUUGCUCGGAAUCACUGGGCGUAAAGCGCACGUAGGCGGCUUUUUAAGUCAGAGGUGAAAUCCUGGAGCUCAACUCCAGAACUGCCUUUGAUACUGGAGAGCUUGAGUCCGGGAGAGGUGAGUGGAACUGCGAGUGUAGAGGUGAAAUUCGUAGAUAUUCGCAAGAACACCAGUGGCGAAGGCGGCUCACUGGCCCGGUACUGACGCUGAGGUGCGGAAAGCGUGGGGAGCAAACAGGGAUUAAGAAACCC
rnacentral:rRNA from 1 species